rnacentral:lncRNA from 1 species
GGGAAAGUUUUAAAAGUCAGUGUCGCCCCAUGCUCUAGGUUCACUCACUGCUGUUAAACCUGUUGCACAACAAUAAAGGAUCUAAGUUAUGGGUAAGUAAACUAAAGCCCGGGGGCCGGAUCCAGCCCAAUCACCAUCUAAAUCCGGCCCGCGGACGGUCCAGGAAUCAGCGUGUUUUUACAUGAGUAGAAUGUGUCCUUUUAUUUAAAAUGCAUCUCUGGGUUAUUUGUGGAACCUGCCUGGUGUUUUUACAUGAGUUGAAUGUGUCCUUUUAUUUAAAAUGCAUCUCUGGGUUAUUUGUGGGGCAUAGGAAUUUGUUCAUUCCCUGCCGCAAAAUAUAGACCAGCCCCUCACAAGGUCUGAGGGACAGUGGACCGGCCCCCUGCUGAAAAAGUUUGCUGACCCCUGAUCUAAGUUUACUGACUGCUGUUUUGCUCCAAAAUUGCUUGGCUGGAAUUUCCUUCUUUUACAGACCGCAUGGACCCACGGGGGACUUGUACCCCAACGAGAUGGGCUGUUGAAAAUCCUCUCAACCCAGGAUUUUCCUUAACGGAUGGCACCCAAUGUGGGCCUAGCGGUUCUGUCACCCAUGUGUGUCACACGCACCUGACGAGUCGACCCCCCCCCCCCAGUGUCGGGUAGAACUCGGCGCCUCUGGUACGGUGGAAUUCUGGGAAUGGCUAGGAACAUCCAUAGGCAAUGCUUUCCUAAGGAACACAAAAAAAGGGCAGGCUUCUUCCCCCGAGGAAGCCAUCAAUCUCUUCUCCACACCAGCAGUUCCCUGCGAGGUCAGCCUGCAAGCUUUUUAUUUUUAGAUGUCCAUUAAGUUUUUUUAUUAAAGAUUUUGUUGAUUUACAGAAGUAUGUGCAAUGUCUCUCUCUCUUGUAUCCCCCCCCCCCAUGUAAUAUUUUUUACAAAUCGGUUUCAUUUGUUGAGACAUUAGGAAGAAAAGGGGGAGAGAGGUGGAGGCGGGGAGAGAUGGGUGGGGGUGGGGUCGGGUGCCGAUGUUUCUAUUUUACUUAAUAUAUGUAGGGUUUGGUGUCAGUGUCGCUUGUGCAGGUUCUCUGCUCUUCGCUUGUGUUCCUUUGGUGGUGAGAGAGGUUGGGGUUGGCCUAGGGUGUGGUUGUUCAUUUGUGGUUGGCUGUGGUGGUCUUUGUUUUCAUGUGUGAGUGGGGUGGGUGGGUGAUUGAUUUGUAUGCCAGAUUGAUUUGUAUGCUGUUGGCGGGUUCUUCUUGUUGUCUUGUUGGGCUGUGUAUGUGAUAAAGGGGAGCCAUACCGGGGUAAAGGCAUCUUCUUUUGUUUGUCCCUGUGUCAGUUUCAGUUUAUUGGUUAAUUUUUCUAGUAAGGCUGUUUCCCAUACUCUUUGGUACCAUUGGUCCAUGCUUACUCCUGACAGGUCUCUCCAGUGUCUGGUUUUGAUGUUUCUGGCUGCUGAGAGUAGGUGGGUUAUGAGUUAUUUGUGGUGUAAGUGGGCAUUAUUGUCUUGGAAGAUGUUUAGUAGGGCCAAUUCUUGGGUGAUUUCUAAUACUUGCUUGGUUAUUUUACAUAUUUCUCGUAUGCCUGUUGUCCAGAUGCAAGCUUUUUGUUAACAUUCCUCUACCUUAUUCCUGAACGAACCACCUGUUGUUGCAACAGCCCUGAUCCUAAUAGAAGAGAGCUGCAAAAAAUUAAAAUUUCAGCAUUAUAGGCAAGGAAGAGGGUUUUUUUUUUGCCUGGUCAGCAAUAAAACCUCUCUCUCUCUCUCUCUCUCUCUCUCUCUCUCUGAUUUCAUUGUCCUAUUAGCCAUCGGCACAUCCAGCUGAUUGCAGUUCUCAGUGACUCAGAAAAAAGAGGCAAGAAUAAAGAAGGCAGCCCUGGU